CGAACGAAGCAUAUAAAAGGAAUUUCUUCGGAGAGGAAUUUUACAUUACUGAGUGGCGGACGGGUGAGUAACGCGUGGGCAACCUACCCCACACAGGGGGACAACAGUUGGAAACGACUGCUAAUACCGCAUAGGCGCACAGCUUCGCAUGAAGCAGUGUGGAAAACCGAGGUGGUGUGGGAUGGGCCCGCGUCUGAUUAGCUGGUUGGCGGGGUAACGGCCCACCAAGGCGACGAUCAGUAGCCGGCCUGAGAGGGUGGACGGCCACAUUGGGACUGAGACACGGCCCAAACUUAUACGGGAGGCAGCAGUGGGGAAUAUUGCACAAUGGGGGAAACCCUGAUGCAGCGACGCCGCGUGAGCGAAGAAGUAUUUCGGUAUGUAAAGCUCUAUCAGCAGGGAAGAAAAUGACGGUACCUGACUAAGAAGCCCCGGCUAAAUACGUGCCAGUAGCCGCGGUAAUACGUAUGGGGCAAGCGUUAUCCGGAUUUACUGGGUGUAAAGGGAGCGCAGGCGGCUUGGCAAGUCUGAUGUGAAAGGCUGGGGCUCAACCCCAGGACUGCAUUGGAAACUGUUAGGCUGGAGUGUCGGAGAGGUAAGCGGAAUUCCUAGUGUAGCGGUGAAAUGCGUAGAUAUUAGGAGGAACACCAGUGACGAAGGCGGCUUACUGGACGACAACUGACGCUGAGGCUCGAAAGCGUGGGGAGCAAACAGGAUUAGAUACCCUGGUAG
rnacentral:rRNA from 1 species